GGCAGUCAGAGGCGAUGAAAGGCGUAAUAACUUGCGAUAAGCCCAGAUUAGGUAGUAAUAACCUUUUGAGUCUGGGAUUCCUGAAUGGGGAAACCCACGUGCAUAAGCACGUAUCCUGUUGUGAAUACAUAGCAACAGGAGGCAAACCGGGGGAACUGAAACAUCUAAGUACCCCGAGGAAGAGAAAUCAACCGAGAUUCCGAAAGUA
rnacentral:rRNA from 1 species